UCGAGAAUCAUUCGCAAUGGGCGCAAGCCUGACGAUGCGACGCCGCGUGCAGGAUGAAGGCCUUCGGGUUGUAAACUGCUGUGAUGGGGGAGCAAUGCGGAACGUGCUAACACCACGUGACGUUGAUAGUACCCCAAGAGGAAGCCACGGCUAACUCUGUGCCAGCAGCCGCGGUAAUACAGAGGUGGCAAGCGUUGUUCGGAUUUACUGGGCGUAAAGGGUGCGUAGGCGGUCCGGUGUGUCGGAUGUGAAAGCCCACGGAUCAUCCGUGGAAUGGCAUUCGAAACUGCCGGGCUAGAGUGUCGGAGAGGAUGGCGGAAUUCUCGGUGUAGCGGUGAAAUGCGUUGAGAUCGAGAGGAACGCCGGUGGCGAAGGCGGCCAUCUGGACGACAACUGACGC
rnacentral:rRNA from 1 species